CGGAGUCUCCUGCGGGCUCUGCUGGUCACUAAAAUGUGUCUGACGGUGAGAACAUUGAGCAGCAGAAUCAGGAGAAAUGGGACACCCGGGGUUAGAAUGUGGUGGAGGAACUCGAUUGUGACCCAGACACUGGAGAAUAGAACAGCGUCUGUUACAUCACAAAACCAGGGGGCGUUCCCCAGCCAAUACCGAGCCGUGAGCAUAAAAUACCAGGAAAUGUUCUUUAAACAGCUCAGCACAGUCACUGCUCCCAGAACCACAGCCGCCGUUUUCUCACUGCAAUAUUUACUUUUCAGCUUCUGGCAACAAAUGGCCACAAACCGAUCAAAGGUGAAAGUGACGGUGAACCAGACAGAGCAGUCAGUGGCUGCAUAAAGCAGGACGGCGUGGAUAUUACACACGGGGACGGAGUCCCUCAGGAAAUAAAACUGUUCCUGAUAAACAAUGGGAAUGUGUCUCAGGAUCAGGUCGAGGAUAAUGACCAGGAGAUCCGCCGCUGCCAUGGCCCCCAGGCAAGGGCGCCUGGAGGCAUGGUACAUUGGGGAAACUGAGCAAAGGCUACAGCGACAGAUGAAUGGGCACCACACAACAAUCAACAGACAGAAGUGUUGCCUCCCAGUUGGGGACACUUCGGCGGUACAGGACUUUCGACCUCGGACCUUCGGGUGAUCAUCCUCCAAGGUUAGAAUCGAUCUAAAAUCAUGGCAUGGACAGAGAACACAGAACGGUAACACCUUCGACAUAUUGUGUAACUAACCCAAUUGUUGCAGUUAACCUGAGAAUGCAACUUUAAAAAAAGGUUUUUUGAUUUACACACGGAAGAAGCUAAACUAACAUGGUAUUCGAACAGAUGAAAGACUCAACAGACAAUCAAGGUAAUUUUCAAUGUGUAGUUUCAGUUACAUCAUACUGUAAUUUUUUGCUAUAAAUGCUGUGCCUUACAAUUUUGUCCUCCACAAUCACC